rnacentral:rRNA from 1 species
AUUGAACGCUGGCGGCAUGCCUUACACAUGCAAGUCGAACGGCAGCACGGGUGCUUGCACCUGGUGGCGAGUGGCGAACGGGUGAGUAAUACAUCGGAACGUACCUUAUCGUGGGGGAUAACGCAGCGAAAGCUGUGCUAAUACCGCAUACGCCCUGAGGGGGAAAGCGGGGGAUCGAAAGACCUCGCGCGAUUACGGCGGCCGAUGCCUGAUUAGCUUGUUGGUGGGGUAAAAGCCCACCAAGGCGACGAUCAGUAGCUGGUCUGAGAGGAGGAUCAGCCACACUGGGACUGAGACACGGCCCAGACUCCUACGGGAGGCAGCAGUGGGGAAUUUUGGACAAUGGGGGCAACCCUGAUCCAGCAAUGCCGCGUGAGUGAAGAAGGCCUUCGGGUUGUAAAGCUCUUUUGUCAGGGAAGAAACACCGGCUCUAACACAGUCCGGGAAUGACGGUACCUGAAGAAUAAGCACCGGCUAACUACGUGCCAGCCGCCGCAGUAA